rnacentral:lncRNA from 1 species
GUAACUACUAACAGAAAAGCUACAUUAAGGGAAAGCUAAACUACAGUAUAGGAACCAACAAGCCAUCACCCAUCAGUAACAAAUUGUGAGAUAUAGGAAACAGAAAAGCUAAAGUAAAGUAUAUGAAUAGUAUAGGAAAAACAAGCUAUCAUCAGUAACAAAUUGUGAGAUAUAGGAAGGAAUAGGAUAGGAACAAGCUUGUGGCAUAUCUGAAUUGCAUUUCAUUUCAUUUCAAGCAUCCAUGUUCUCUUAAGUGCAUCAUCCAAUAUCAUCACCUCAUCUCAUCACAUCACCU